rnacentral:rRNA from 1 species
CUCAGAUUGAACGCUGGCCGCAGGCCUAACACAUGCAAGUCGAGCGGUAGCACAGGGAGCUUGCUCUUGGGUGACGAGCGGCGGACGGGUGAGUAAUGUCUGGGAAACUGCCUGAUGGAGGGGGAUAACUACUGGAAACGGUAGCUAAUACCGCAUAACGUCGCAAGACCAAAGAGGGGGACCUUCGGGCCUCUUGCCAUCAGAUGUGCCCAGAUGGGAUUAGCUAGUAGGUGGGGUAACGGCUCACCUAGGCGACGAUCCCUAGCUGGUCUGAGAGGAUGACCAGCCACACUGGAACUGAGACACGGUCCAGACUCCUACGGGAGGCAGCAGUGGGGAAUAUUGCACAAUGGGCGCAAGCCUGAUGCAGCCAUGCCGCGUGUAUGAAGAAGGCCUUCGGGUUGUAAAGUACUUUCAGCGGGGAGGAAGGCGAUAAGGUUAAUAACCUUGUCGAUUGACGUUACCCGCAGAAGAAGCACCGGCUAACUCCGUGCCAGCAGCCGCGGUAAUACGGAGGGUGCAAGCGUUAAUCGGAAUUACUGGGCGUAAAGCGCACGCAGGCGGUCUGUCAAGUCGGAUGUGAAAUCCCCGGGCUCAACCUGGGAACUGCAUUCGAAACUGGCAGGCUAGAGUCUUGUAGAGGGGGGUAGAAUUCCAGGUGUAGCGGUGAAAUGCGUAGAGAUCUGGAGGAAUACCGGUGGCGAAGGCGGCCCCCUGGACAAAGACUGACGCUCAGGUGCGAAAGCGUGGGGAGCAAACAGGAUUAGAUACCCUGGUAGUCCACGCCGUAAACGAUGUCGACUUGGAGGUUGUGCCCUUGAGGCGUGGCUUCCGGAGCUAACGCGUUAAGUCGACCGCCUGGGGAGUACGGCCGCAAGGUUAAAACUCAAAUGAAUUGACGGGGGCCCGCACAAGCGGUGGAGCAUGUGGUUUAAUUCGAUGCAACGCGAAGAACCUUACCUACUCUUGACAUCCAGAGAACUUUCCAGAGAUGGAUUGGUGCCUUCGGGAACUCUGAGACAGGUGCUGCAUGGCUGUCGUCAGCUCGUGUUGUGAAAUGUUGGGUUAAGUCCCGCAACGAGCGCAACCCUUAUCCUUUGUUGCCAGCGGUCAGGCCGGGAACUCAAAGGAGACUGCCAGUGAUAAACUGGAGGAAGGUGGGGAUGACGUCAAGUCAUCAUGGCCCUUACGAGUAGGGCUACACACGUGCUACAAUGGCGCAUACAAAGAGAAGCGACCUCGCGAGAGCAAGCGGACCUCAUAAAGUGCGUCGUAGUCCGGAUUGGAGUCUGCAACUCGACUCCAUGAAGUCGGAAUCGCUAGUAAUCGUAGAUCAGAAUGCUACGGUGAAUACGUUCCCGGGCCUUGUACACACCGCCCGUCACACCAUGGGAGUGGGUUGCAAAAGAAGUAGGUAGCUUAACCUUCGGGAGGGCG